CAAUAGCGUAUAUUAAAGUUGUUGCAGUUAAAAAGCUCGUAGUUGGAUUUCUGGUGGGAGCGAUCGGUCUGGCGCUUAGCGCGAGUACUUGCAUCGUCUCCGGCCAUCCUUGGGGAGAGUCUGUCUGGCAUUAAGUUGUCGGGCAGAGGAUCCUCAUCGUUUACUGUGAAAAAAUUAGAGUGUUCAAAGCAGGCCUAUGCCGUUGAAUAUAUUAGCAUGGAAUAAUAAGAUAGGACUUUGGUACUAUUUUGUUGGUUUGCGCACCAAAGUAAUGAUUAAUAGGGACAGUUGGGGGUAUUCGUAUUCCGUUGUCAGAGGUGAAAUUCUUGGAUUUACGGAAGACGAACUACUGCGAAAGCAUUUACCAAGGAUGUUUUCAUUAA
rnacentral:rRNA from 1 species